ensembl:lncRNA
UAUGGGGUUGCACAGAGUCGGAUACGACUGAAGUGACUUAGCAGCAGCAGAAGUGACUUAUCACGCAUGCCAGCAAAUCCUCUUAAAACCAGAAAAAAAGUGAUUAUGAGAUUUCAUAAUAUGCUGAAUAUGAGCAAAUGGAUGAGAGCAAACUUAGUACAAUGGGGGACUGAAUGAAGGUACCAGGAUAGUUCCAUGUGUUAAAGAUUAGAAAGGCUUACUCUAUUUCCUUAGAUUUGAAAUAAAUGUAAGCAGAAUAUCUAAUACUGCCUUCCUGUACCUUCCUGUAUAGGAUUGACCUGUGUUCCAUUUGGAGGAACACUAGUCUGCAGUGUGAGGCACAGAGUAUCCAAGGUAUUGGAACACAAAGGGCAGACAAGCCUCGUCUUGCUUGCGGUAGAGGAAGAUGGAGGUGGAAGAUGGCAGGAUAGGUGAUGUGCCUGGUGAGCCUCAUACGAGGGUGGUUUCAUUACGUAUAGGGAGAGCGAAUGCCUCAGAAGACACAGCUAUUUAUGUCAGUGGGGCACAAAAGCUGAACGUGUUUGGAGGAGCACAAGCAAGCCGUUUGGGAUAGUCACAGGUUAGGGGGCCACAUGGGCAGCCUUAGACACAGAGACAUAAUAGAUGAAAGGAGGAUUGACAGAAAUCUGCUGGUGCCAAGAACACUGAUGGCUUCAAUCUAUCAAAGGGCGGCCAAAAUUAAAUAAGAUGAGCUGAGAAGAGAACAGAUCACAGAGGUGUAUAGGUUCUUAAAGAAAAACCAUUGAGGAACAUGUCAUAUUAAGACACUGCUGAAGAGCAGCUUUCCUGAGAUCCUGGGAACUAAAUAAGUGAUUCGUAAUGCUGAGAAUAUCACAGUGUGUGUAGCAGUUACCCAAAAAAGCCUUUCCUCAUACCAGGUAUCUGUGGGGGUUAGACAAAAGGAAUAAUUACAUAACAAAUUUUAUUUUAAAGGAUAUGAUGGCCAUUUUGCCUUUAAUGACCAAAAAUCUCUCUUAAGUCCUAGCGUCUGAUAUUCCUCUUUGUAGCUUUUUUACUCUUUACAUACAUACAUACAUCUAAGACACUCUAGACACUGACCAGUGAGAGAAGAGUAAGUUCAAAUAGCUGAGUCCAUCUCAUUGAACCUUAUCUCACAAUCACUAUCCACUAGUUUUGAAUUUAUUUGCAAAAUAUUAAGCUUAGGGAAUUCCCUGGCAGUGCAGUCGUUAGGACUCCAUGCUUUUACUGCCAAGGUUAGGUUCAAUCCCUAGUCAGGGAUCUGAGAUCCUGCAAGCUGUACAGGGCAGCCAAAAAUAAAUUACGCAUGGCUCUUCUACAUUAAAAUAUGCAUACAUUCAAACACUACUCUUCUUCUAUCAAAUCAUCAUGCUGUACACCUCAAAUAUCUUACAAUUUUAUUUUUAAUUAU